UACGUAGGGUGCGAGCGUUAAUCGGAAUUACUGGGCGUAAAGCGUGCGCAGGCGGUGAUGUAAGACCGAUGUGAAAAUCCCCCGGGCUCAACCCGGGAAGUCGCACUUGAAACUGCUCGUCUUGAGUACCGGAGAGGAUAGUGGAAUUCCUGGUGUAGAGGUGAAAUUCGUAGAUAUCAGGAGGAACACCGGUGGCGAAGGCGAGUCUCUGGACAUUUCCUGACGCUGAGGCACGAAAGCCAGGGGAGCAAACGGG
rnacentral:rRNA from 1 species